rnacentral:lncRNA from 1 species
CUUUACUCAACUUAAAAUGACAUGCAAGGGGUAAUGUCACAGAUUUAGAAUCAUGCAUAGCAAACUUGGAUAGGACCUUUUUCACAUAAUCUGUUUGUGACAACAUUAAUAACCGCUGGGACCUAUUCCUUUUAAUAUCCAUCCCUAAAAUCCUUUUAGCAUGCCCAACGUCCUUCAUUUCAAAUUCAGCACUAAGCACAUUUUUAAUCUCAUUUAUAUCACUUAUUUUCUGGCCAAUUAAUAACAUAUCAUCCACAUAUAACAGCAAAUAAACAGUCACACAGUUGCUGUUAUCCCUUUUAAAAUACAAGCAAUGGUCAAAUAAACUUCUCACAAAGCCAACUGAAGACACAAAGUUAUCAAAACAUUUAUACCAUUGCCUAGGGGAUUGUUUUAGACCAUAAAGUGAUCUUUUUAAUGGGCAUACAUGAUCAGAUUUUCUAUUAUCAAUGAGACCUUGUGGCUGUCUCAUAUCUAUGGUUUCAUCAAGGUCUCCAUGCAAAAACGCAGUUUUAACAUCCAUUUGCUCUAAUUCAUAAUCAUAAUGUGCAACUAAUGCAAGCAUGACUCUAAUGGUAGUAUAUUUCACAACAGGAGAAAAUAUUUCAUUAUAAUCAAUACCAGGUUUUAAGGUAAACCCCUUAGCCACUAAUCUGACUUUAAACCUAGGGGGCUGAUUAGGAGGAUUUCCUUCUUUAACAGUAUAAACCCACUUACAGUCAACUAGAGAUUUAUUUUCAGGUUUAGACACUAAGCUCCAGGUCUUAUUUUUCACUAAGGACCUCAUUUCUUCCUCCAUAGCAAAUUGCCAUUCCUUGGAAGACUGACAACUAAUAGCCUCUUCAUAGGAUUUAGGCUCCUUAAAAGUGAAAUCCUGAUAAGACAACAUAGCAACUGACAAAUAGUCUUGCAUCCUAAUAGGCUCUCAUAUUUCUCUUCUAACCCUAUCUCUAGUUAACUGAUAAUCACCUAAAGGGUUUACUAACUCACCAGCAGGUCCUUGAACUGUUUCAUCACCUGAUUUUUCCACAGUUCUAUCUGCAGCCUAGUAUUUUCCUCUUCCUGGCCCUUAAGCUCCUCACUAGAGGCCUUCUUAUCUAAACAAGGCAUCUCAUUUUCAUUGAAGGUCACAUUCCUACUGGUUAUCUUCUUAAAACCCCCCAAUUUUUCUCACCCAAAGCCUGUACCCCUUCACUCCUUCAGCAUAUCCCAUAAAAACACAUUUCUGGGAUCUAGGCUCAAGUUUUCCUUCACUUUGGUGUGAAUAUGCUGCACAACCAAAGGUUUUUAAGUAUGUAUAGUCAGCCAACCUACCUGUCCACACUUCCUCAGGUGUCCUACCAUCUAAUGCACUAGUUGGGGUCCUAUUUAUGAUAUAAACUGCUGUCAUAACAACCUCCCCCCACAACACUUUAGGGACACCUGAACU